rnacentral:rRNA from 1 species
UACAGAGGUCUCAAGCGUUGUUCGGAUUCAUUGGGCGUAAAGGGUGCGUAGGCGGCGCGGUAAGUCGGGUGUGAAAUCUCGGAGCUUAACUCCGAAACUGCAUUCGAUACUGCCGUGCUUGAGGACUGGAGAGGAGACUGGAUUUACGGUGUAGCGGUGAAAUGCGUAGAGAUCGGGAGGAAGGCCGGUGGCGAAGCGGCGCUCUGGAACAUUUCUGACGCUGAGGCUCGAAGCGUGGGGAGCAAACAGG